rnacentral:rRNA from 1 species
UACGAGUGCCCCGAGCGUUAUCCGGAAUCAUUGGGCGUAAAGGGUGCGUAGGUGGUGAGGUAAGUCGGAUGUGAAAUCUCCGAGCUCAACUCGGAAAUGGCAUUGGAAACUACCUUGCUUGAGGGUUGGAGGGGGGACUGGAAUACUUGGUGUAGCAGUGAAAUGCGUAGAUAUCAAGUGGAACACCAGUGGCGAAGGCGAGUCCCUGGACAACUCCUGACACUGAGGCACGAAAGCUAGGGGAGCAAACAGG